CUUUGGUUAUCUAGCUAUAUGAA
rnacentral:miRNA from 1 species